GAUGAACGCUGGCGGCGUGCUUAACACAUGCAAGUCGAACGAAGCAUUUAAGACAGAUUACUUCGGUUUGAAGUCUUUUAUGACUGAGUGGCGGACGGGUGAGUAACGCGUGGGUAACCUGCCUCAUACAGGGGGAUAGCAGCUGGAAACGGCUGGUAAUACCGCAUAAGCGCACGGUAUCGCAUGAUACAGUGUGAAAAACUCCGGUGGUAUGAGAUGGACCCGCGUCUGAUUAGCUGGUUGGUGAGGUAACGGCCCGACCAAGGCGACGAUCAGUAGCCGACCUGAGAGGGUGACCGGCC
rnacentral:rRNA from 1 species